AUGGACUUCUGUGGGAUUGAUUAGCACGUAUUACGAGGAAGAACGAAAGAGGAUUGAAAAAGACUUAUUUUGUGAUAGUAUUUGAAUGAUUCUUUUUUUAGGAAGGAGACCCNUUUAACUUAAGCAUAAGCUUGGA
rnacentral:rRNA from 1 species